rnacentral:rRNA from 1 species
UACAGGGGGGGCAAGCGUUGUUCGGAAUUACUGGGCGUAAAGGGCCCGUAGGCGGCCAACUAAGUCCGACGUGAAAUCCCAAAGCUUAACUUUGGAACUGCGUCGGGUACUGGAUGGCUUGAAUUCGGGAGAGGGAUGCAGAAUUCCAGGUGUAGCGGUGAAAUGCGUAGAUAUGCGGAGGAACACCGAUGGCGAAGGCAAUCCCCUGGACCUGUACUGACGCUCAUGCACGAAAGCGUGGGGAGCAAACAGG